rnacentral:rRNA from 1 species
UAGUCCUGGCCGUAAACGAUGGGUACUUGGUGUGGGAGGUAUAGAGUCCUUCCGUGCCGGCGAUAACUCGUUAAGUACCCCGCCUGGGGAGUACGAUCGCAAGAUUGAAACUCAAAGGAAUUGACGGGGGCCCGCACAAGCGGUGGAGCAUGUGGUUUAAUUCGACGCAACGCGAAGAACCUUACCGGGGUUUGAACUGUGGCGGAUAGCGGCAGAGAUGUCGUGUUCUCUUCGGAGACUGCUACAGAGGUGCUGCAUGGCUGUCGUCAGCUCGUGUCGUGAGAUGUUGGGUUAAGUCCCGCAACGAGCGCAACCCUUGUCUGUAGUUGCUACCAGGUAAAGCUGGGCACCCUACGGAGACUGUCGGCGAAAAGCCGGAGGAAGGUGGGGAUGACGUCAAGUCCUCAUGGGCCUUUAUGUCCCGGGGCUACACACGUGCUACAAUGGGGCGGUACAAAGAGCAGCCAACUCGUGAGAGUGAGCGAAUCUCAAAAAGCCGU